AAAAAAGAACAAAUCACAUAAGAGGAACAACCCUCAAGAUCUAAUGAUCUAUAGCAUUGCAAAUAACUAAAAGAAGCUCUAAAUUGAAUUUUAUAUUGGCUUCUUUACAGAAUUACUCUUUGGAUUGUAGCCAUGGAGAGAGAGAUUCUUCAUUAAAUUAGUCGUUUUCUUGAUCCUCAAAUCAUCAUCAGGUUUCCUAUCUCCUGCUUUUGUAUGCUUCAGAAAAUCGCCGUUUUUGUCUAUCUCCAUUCGCAGACUCGCAGGCUUAUUGCUCGUUUUAGCGUGUGGAAUCUUCUCUCGGUUUUCAUAGAAAUUGAAGUCAUCUAACAAUGAUGUCUUAGCUGAAUAACUCUUAAAAAUUUUCAGCAUUUCCAAACCUUGCUCAAGUCCUAUCUCUUGUGUGUCUCUGCUAAAAGUUACAGGCCUCCUAUCAUUAUUUUCCAGGAUGAUAUGCCGCAGCUGACUGUUAGGAAUGUCUUUUAUGACAUGCCAUUUAACUGGGAAGAAACCGUUCCAUUUGUCGAGUUGCCAAAAGUCCAUGUCUUUAUCAAAAUCUACCUGCCCAACCAUCUCAGCUAUCCCAACAAAUUGUCCACUUCCAUUAACCGAGAAAAAGAGGAAAAUUGGACAUUUUGUGCCAGUUCCACCUGAUCUCUGUUCUGCAUCACGGAAUGCUGCAUCUAGCUUCUUAUUGCCAUUUGGAGUACUUGCCCAUACAUCAUACUUAACGCUCUUAUGAAUGUCAUCUUCAUUGUAAGAUUUGAUGACGUAGAACUUAGCAUGUGUGUACUCAGUUUCAAAAUCAGGUUGGUUAUACUGAUCCCUUUGUACAGUGAUUCCCAAGUCUUCCUUGACAGCAGUGUCCGGAGGAGAAAUUUCAUUAGAAGCCCUAGGACCGCAAGUUAAUUCAGUUGAUGUUUCAAAAUCACUCUUUUUAUAGAAUCUGUCUAUUGAUUUAUUUCUAUCAUUUCCAUUCCAUAUCCUUCCAUUCUGCCUAUAGUUCAUAGGACCACUAUGCGGGAAUGGACCUUGUCUUUGGAUAGAAUACAAAGACAUAUUUCCUACAGGAUGGUAUCCCUUCGAGAGGCCUGCUGAGAAAUCAGAACCCAAUGUAGACAUCUUGUUUAAAGGUCUGCUUGGAUGCAUGUAAGUAGACUUAGAAGACUUGCCACCAAUGUUGCCAUUAGACUUCAUUGAGUUCAAACCAUUGGCCUUGGAAAAACUAGGACCUGAAUUGUAUUUUCUAUUUCCAGAACCACUAUUGCCAUUUGAGACAUCUCCAACACAUGUUGAAUCCCAUGAAUAACAAGGCAUGGACUCUGAUCCAUAGGAAACUGGACGCGGAAGGUAACCAGGAGAAGAAAAAAAUUGUUGCUGCCCAUCUACCCCAACUACUGUCCCAGAAGCAUAUGGACUAUAGCCAGGUAAAUAAUAGACAAGUGAUCCGUUGUCUGAUUGCAUUCCCAUAUGAGAUCCAUCUGCUUGAAAAUAGCCAUGAUCAUCCAAUUGUGUGAAGGGUACGCUAUAUCCUGGGUAGUAAUAAUUGUAACUAUUGGUAGGUGGAUUCUGAACACUGCGCUCUUCAACAGAUUCUUGAUCAGCCUCCCCUUUGCUGCCAGAAUUACCAUCCCCUUCACCUUUGGUAUUAGAGGUAGCAUCCCCUGAAGAGCAAUUGGAUGAGGUUAAGUCAGAAGGCAUUCCAUCUUUCCCAAAAGCCACAUCAUGCCCAGCCAAUUUUGUCAGGGGCUCUGACUUCAAUCCUGUAGGGACAGGUUCAGGUUUCUCGAGUUCCGUUCCAGUGGCCAUUGUCGAUCAAUAAAAGCCCACGUUAAUUCCUGAAAGAGACUGAUCGAGGCCGAGACGAAACCGAGAGACCCGAUCUGUUGUGACCGGAAAACCGCUUUUUAGUACAGUAGAGAGCGGUAUACCAAAGAAGGAAAGAAAGAGAGGA
rnacentral:misc_RNA from 1 species